UACAGAGGUGGCAAGCGUUGUUCGGAAUUACUGGGCGUAAAGGGCGCGUAGGCGGUCUUUUAAGUCUUGUGUGAAAUCCCUCGGCUCAACUGAGGAACUGCACGGGAUACUGGAAGACUUGAGUUCGGGAGAGGGAAGCGGAAUUCCGGGUGUAGCGGUGAAAUGCGUAGAUAUCUGGAGGAACACCGGUGGCGAAGGCGGCAUCCUGGACCAAUAUUGACGCUGAGGAGCGAAAGCCAGGGGAGCAAACGGG
rnacentral:rRNA from 1 species